rnacentral:tRNA from 1 species
GGGGCUUAGGAAUAACAAGACCAAGGACCUUCAAAGCCCUAAGCAGGAGUGAAAAUCUCCUAGCCCCU